GCCGGAGUGGCGAAACUGGUAGACGCGGGGGACUUAAACUCCCCGGCCCUUCGGGGCGUCCGGGUUCGAGUCCCGGCUCCGGCA
rnacentral:tRNA from 1 species